CCUACGGGAGGCAGCAGUGGGGAAUAUUGCACAAUGGGGGAAACCCUGAUGCAGCGACGCCGCGUGAGUGAAGAAGUAAUUCGUUAUGUAAAGCUCUAUCAGCAGGGAAGAAAAUGACGGUACCUGAGUAAGAAGCCCCGGCUAACUACGUGCCAGCAGCCGCGGUAAUACGUAGGGGGCAAGCGUUAUCCGGAUUUACUGGGUGGAAAGGGAGCGUAGACGGCAGUGCAAGUCUGGAGUGAAAGGCGGGGGCUCAACCCCCGGACUGCUCUGGAAACUGUACGGCUGGAGUGCAGGAGAGGUAAGUGGAAUUCCUAGUGUAGCGGUGAAAUGCGUAGAUAUUAGGAGGAACACCAGUGGCGUAGGCGGCUUACUGGACUGUAACUGACGUUGAGGCUCGAAAGCGUGGGGAGCAAACAGGAUUAGAUACCCUAGUAGUC
rnacentral:rRNA from 1 species